GGUUGAUCCUGCCAUAAGUCAUAUGCUUGUCUCAUAGACUAAGCCAUGCAUGUCUAAGUAUAAAUGUUAUACAGUGAAACUGCGAAUGGCUCAUUAAAACAGUUAUAGUUUAUUUGAUAAUCGAAUUUACAUGGAUAACCGUGGUAAUUCUAAAGCUAAUACAUGCUGGUUAGCCUGACUUUUGAGGAAGGGCUGUAUUUAUUAGAUAACAAACCAAUAUUCCCCGUGUCUAUUGUGAUGACUCAUAAUAACUGAUCGAAUCGCAUGGACUUUGUCCGCGAUAAAUCAUUCAAGUUUCUGCCCCAUCAGCUUUCUAUGGUAGUGUAUUGGACUACCAUGGCUUUAACGGGUAACGGAGGAUUACGGUUCGAUUCCGGAGAGGGAGCCUGAGAAACGGCUACCACAUCUAAGGAAGGCAGCAGGCGCGUAAAUUACCCAAUCCUGACUCAGGGAGGUAUUGACAAGAAAUAACGGACCGAAGCCUAUGUUUCGGGAUUGCAAUGAGUAGAAUUUAAACCCCUUUACGAGGAUCAAUUGGAGGGCAAGUCUGGU
rnacentral:rRNA from 1 species